rnacentral:rRNA from 1 species
UGCUGUGAACUCGAAGAGUAGGGCGGGACACGUGGUAUCCUGUCUGAAUAUGGGGGGACCAUCCUCCAAGGCUAAAUACUCCUGACUGACCGAUAGUGAACCAGUACCGUGAGGGAAAGGCGAAAAGAACCCCGGCGAGGGGAGUGAAAAAGAACCUGAAACCGUGUACGUACAAGCAGUGGGAGCCUCUUUAUGGGGUGACUGCGUACCUUUUGUAUAAUGGGUCAGCGACUUAUAUUCUGUAGCAAGGUUAACCGUAUAGGGGAGCCGAAGGGAAACCGAGUCUUAACUGGGCGUUAAGUUGCAGGGUAUAGACCCGAAACCCGGUGAUCUAGCCAUGGGCAGGUUGAAGGUUGGGUAACACUAACUGGAGGACCGAACCGACUAAUGUUGAAAAAUUAGCGGAUGACCUGUGGCUGGGGGUGAAAGGCCAAUCAAACCGGGAGAUAGCUGGUUCUCCCCGAAAGCUAUUUAGGUAGCGCCUCGUGAACUCAUCUUCGGGGGUAGAGCACUGUUUCGGCUAGGGGGCCAUCCCGGCUUACCAACCCGAUGCAAACUACGAAUACCGAAGAAUGUUAUCACGGGAGACACACGGCGGGUGCUAACGUCCGUCGUGAAGAGGGAAACAACCCAGACCGCCAGCUAAGGUCCCAAAGUCAUGGUUAAGUGGGAAACGAUGUGGGAAGGCACAGACAGCCAGGAUGUUGGCUUAGAAGCAGCCAUCAUUUAAAGAAAGCGUAAUAGCUCACUGGUCGAGUCGGCCUGCGCGGAAGAUGUAACGGGGCUAAACCAUGCACCGAAGCUGCGGCAGCGACACUAUGUGUUGUUGGGUAGGGGAGCGUUCUGUAAGCCGUUGAAGGUGUGCUGUGAGGCAUGCUGGAGGUAUCAGAAGUGCGAAUGCUGACAUAAGUAACGAUAAAGCGGGUGAAAAGCCCGCUCGCCGGAAGACCAAGGGUUCCUGUCCAACGUUAAUCGGGGCAGGGUGAGUCGACCCCUAAGGCGAGGCCGAAAGGCGUAGUCGAUGGGAAACAGGUUAAUAUUCCUGUACUUGGUGUUACUGCGAAGGGGGGACGGAGAAGGCUAUGUCAGCCGGGCGACGGUUGUCCCGGUUUAAGCAUGUAGGCGGAGGUUCCAGGUAAAUCCGGUACCUUAUUAACGCUGAGGUGUGAUGACGAGGCACUACGGUGCUGAAGUGAUAAAUGCCCUGCUUCCAGGAAAAGCCUCUAAGCAUCAGGUAACACGAAAUCGUACCCCAAACCGACACAGGUGGUCAGGUAGAGAAUACCAAGGCGCUUGAGAGAACUCGGGUGAAGGAACUAGGCAAAAUGGUGCCGUAACUUCGGGAGAAGGCACGCUGAUGUGUAGGUGAAGCCCCUGCGGGUGGAGCUGAAAUCAGUCGAAGAUACCAGCUGGCUGCAACUGUUUAUUAAAAACACAGCACUGUGCAAACACGAAAGUGGACGUAUACGGUGUGACGCCUGCCCGGUGCCGGAAGGUUAAUUGAUGGGGUUAGCGGCAACGCGAAGCUCUUGAUCGAAGCCCCGGUAAACGGCGGCCGUAACUAUAACGGUCCUAAGGUAGCGAAAUUCCUUGUCGGGUAAGUUCCGACCUGCACGAAUGGCGUAAUGAUGGCCAGGCUGUCUCCACCCGAGACUCAGUGAAAUUGAACUCGCUGUGAAGAUGCAGUGUACCCGCGGCAAGACGGAAAGACCCCGUGAACCUUUACUAUAGCUUGACACUGAACACUGGUCCUUGAUGUGUAGGAUAGGUGGGAGGCUUUGAAGCGUGGACGCCAGUCUGCGUGGAGCC